CAAGGACCAACAAAACUGCGUGUGCAAUUCUCACAACCCUGGCAGCAGCUGUCAUUGAUUAUGCCCAGAUGGGGACGCUGCCCCUCAGGGAGUUAAGUGACUUGCCCAGGAUCGUACAGGCAGAAGGUGAGCACUUCAGUCUGUCUCUCCAGAGGCAGUUCUGAGUUCUUUAGUCCCUAGUGCCCCAGGUCAUCAUCACCUCCUGCAGGAAGAAAUAACCAAGCCUGGGCCCACUGCAGGCCAGGCUGUCCACACCAUGUCCCAGAAACAGCCCCCACCUAGUAACCUUUUCCCUGACUCCAGUGGACACUCCGCAGCUUUGACAGAUUUGCAGCCUCCAUCACAGCAGGUGGGUAUUCCCCUGGCUUCCAAAUCUGGUUUUCCUCCUUCCAAUUUGGGUUGCUCUUUUUUCUGGUUGGUGACCUUCAGGACCUCCCCCUGGGCCACCCCACCCACUCCCACCUGUACAUUUCUGAAUCCUGGGCCUCGACACUCUCCUGAACUCAAAACUAUAGAUCCAGCUAUCCUUGGACUCUCUCCCUGGAUGUUCUACAGGAACAUCAUGCCCAACUUGUCCCAAACAGAGCAAGCACUUCACCUCCCCCAGGGCCCCUAUCUCAGCAGGCAGCUCCACCUUCCCUCCAACUGGCAAAGGCAGAAACUCUGGAGUCCUCUCCCACCUCCCUCAUUCAGUGU